UCUUGUCGUUAGAGCUCUAACGCUCACUGCAGAAACGACUCUAAAUACCGGCGUUAGAAAGAUCCCAUUGAAAAGAUAGGCUACGCAAAUGGCGUAGGGGGAUCUGCGGUAUGGAAAAGUCGCGGCUGUAAAGUGAGCGUUAGACCCUUUAAUCACUGACUCCAAAUACCAGCGGGCGGCCAAAACCAGCGUUAGGAGCCUCUAACGCUGGUUUUGACGGCUACCGCCGAACUCUAAAUCUAGGCCAGGAUCAGCUAAUACGGGACUUUACCUUUAAAUCUCAAUAAUGUCCAUUGGAUAUGACACAAUUUGGACAAUGUAACUAUUAGUAGUCCAUAAUAGUGUAUUCCACUUUAUAUAACGCUUUAUAUAACAACAGUACCCCCUUCGGCCGUAUUCAUUCAUAGGCUGUACAAUAUAGGAAACAGUCAGAAGGGCUUGUCUAGUCGGAAGCUUUCGGCUUGAGUGGGUCACUAUUAUAGUUCUUAGCUUGUGACACAUUUGCUGUGAACAGUCACAUAACAAUUCACUUACCCACUCUGCCGCUUUUCCUCGUCCUCCUCUCUGCUAGACUCUUGCCGCCCGUUGUUUCCUGUAUGCUGACGUCACCGCUUGUGGGUGUGUGAUUCCACUCUUGCCGUGAUUGGCUGUUGCACCGGGUAUCGUGUCUGGUCUGUGUCCGCCUUCACUUUGGUACUGGAUUCGGAUGCCUUUUCCUCAGACCUACUCUUACGGUCUCGGCUCCUACUUCCCCAGACUCCUGCUGGCUUGACACCUCAACACUCGCAUCCGUCUCUUCUGGUCAGCUCAAGGAAGGAGGAAAAACGCCAUUCCACCCAGGAGAUAAAUCUCAACAAGCCCCUCAUGACAAGAGAAAUUAGAGUAUGAGCAUCGUCCUCCUCCUGGCCUUACACAUGGGCCAAAUGGAACUCACCUUGGAGCCUCUCAACAGAAGAAACCCCUGCAUUCUCCCCUGAACAACAUGGGCCCUCAGAUAGGGAGGAGGAUGUCCCUGGUCUAGCGUCACCCUCCACUCCUAUUGCUCUGCCUUCAAAAGAAGCUGGGCAUACCGGUACCAAAGACACAGAAGACAUUGCACAAACAAUCUCAGAGUUUUAAUUAAUGAGGCAAUUCCCAUUAGAUUUCAGAGGUUCCAGACUGGCUAGUGAGCAGCAAAACCUUGCUGCCAACCAGUUUUAUGCAACCUUUAUUGAAGAGCUAUGACUCCUCCGGGCAGACAUCAGGGAGAACACCCAGACAAUGAGGGAAAUAAAGGAACUAUUAGUGCAGCAGGGAGGACAAGCAACACCAGUUCCCUCUAGCCCUUCUGCAGCCCCUGCAUCACCAUCUCUGCCUCCUCCAUCUAAGCCUCCUCCAUCUCCUCCCCAUCUGAUUCCUCCAUCCCCUACACCUGAGAUUACUCCUCCUCCUCCAAAACCUCAAUCUCCAAGGAGGACACGACAGAGGAGGCCUGUGCCCCCUAUUGUGGGAAGAGGGGAAGGAAGAGGAAUUAAUUUUUUACCCUUUUUUCUCUAAUUAGAGUAAGUUUUUAUGUGAUAAUGUGGUGUGCUUAUAGCUGUGUAGCAUACUCUGCAUUCAAUAGGGUUUGAUGAUAACGGGGCCAUGUUGGCAAAUUGUUUGCUGAGUAUAUUCUACAAGUGUGAUCAUCAUAUGCUGCCCCUGUUGUUGUUGUUGAUGAUUUAUUUUUAUAUUUUGGUAAUGGGAUGUGCAGACUCUUGUCCUCCUAAUCUAAUGGGCAUUAAAUUCAUACAUUAUAAUAUAUAAUUAUGUUUAGAAAAAAAAAAGCCAUAUGAUAAACUCAACAGUUUUAAAAUGUAUUAUUAAUACAUAUCUUACAGAUGGGUUCAAUGGCUUGAAUAAAAUUGUUCUUGUAUUCUAUAGAAAAUAAUCACAAAUAACAGAACAAGCAUGACUUAAAGGGACAUGAAACCCCAAAAAAUUAUUUCAUGAUUUAGAUAGAAAAUACAAUUUCAAACAACUUUCUAAUUUACUUCUAUUAUCUAAUAUGUUUCUUUCUCUUGGAAUCAUUUGUUGAAGGAGCAGCAAUACACUACUGGUUUCUAACUGAACACAUGGGUGAGCCAAUCACAAUCAAUAUACUGUAUAUAUGCAGGCACCAAUCAACAGCUAGAACCUAGGUUAUCUGCUGCCCCUGAGCUUGCCUAGAUAAACCUUUCAGCAAAGGAUAACAAGAGAAGAAAGGAAAUUAAAAAAUAGAAGUAAAUUGUAAAGUUGUUAAAAUUAUAUUUGUUAUCUGAAUCAUGAAAAAAAUGUUUGGGUUUCAUGUCCUUUUAACUCACAACUGAGCAAUGGUGGUAACAUUUAAUAAUGGAAAUCUAGUUACAUUCUUAAAAUGAAAAACUACCUUUUUACAUUGUAUUGUUUAAUCAACAUGAUAAACAUUUAGUUUAAUGUCCCUUUAAUUGAAUAAUGUAUGCAUACAUAUCUUACAUACUUUGCAUAGUUGACAAAACGACACUUGUAUUUUAUAACAACAUUGUUUAAAUAAACAGUUCAGAGGA